rnacentral:rRNA from 1 species
UGGGGAAUAUUGCACAAUGGGCGCAAGCCUGAUGCAGCCAUGCCGCGUGUAUGAAGAAGGCCUUCGGGUUGUAAAGUACUUUCAGCGGGGAGGAAGGCGAUAAGGUUAAUAACCUUGUCGAUUGACGUUACCCGCAGAAGAAGCACCGGCUAACUCCGUGCCAGCAGCCGCGGUAAUACGGAGGGUGCAAGCGUUAAUCGGAAUUACUGGGCGUAAAGCGCACGCAGGCGGGGUGUCAAGUCGGAUGUGAAAUCCCCGGGCUCAACCUGGGAACUGCAUUCGAAACUGGCAGGCUAGAGUCUUGUAGAGGGGGGUAGAAUUCCAGGUGUAGCGGUGAAAUGCGUAGAGAUCUGGAGGAAUACCGGUGGCGAAGGCGGCCCCCUGGACAAAGACUGACGCUCAGGUGCGAAAGCGUGGGGAGCAAACA